AGGCGUGGUGGUGUGCGCCUGUAGUCCCAGCUACUUGGGACGCUGAGGCUAGAGGAUCGCUUGAGCCCCGGAGUUCUGGGCUGCAGUGAGCUAUGCUGAUCGGGUGUCUGCACUCAGUUUGGCAUCAAUAUGGUGACCUCCCGGGAGGGGGGAACCGCCAGGUUGCCUAAGGAGGGGUGAAUGGCUCCAGGUCAGAGAUGGAGCAGGUCAAAAUAUUGCCACUUAGGUUCAGUUCUUGAAAAAGUCAAACCAUUUCCCCAAAUCAUUCCAAUGACCUGUGACAAUCACAAAUUGUCUACCUUUA
rnacentral:SRP_RNA from 1 species